GACGAACGCUGGCGGCGUGCCUAAUACAUGCAAGUAGAACGCUGAAGGAGGAGCUUGCUUCUCUGGAUGAGUUGCGAACGGGUGAGUAACGCGUAGGUAACCUGCCUGGUAGCGGGGGAUAACUAUUGGAAACGAUAGCUAAUACCGCAUAAGAGUAGAUGUUGCAUGACAUUUGCUUAAAAGGUGCAAUUGCAUCACUACCAGAUGGACCUGCGUUGUAUUAGCUAGUUGGUGGGGUAACGGCUCACCAAGGCGACGAUACAUAGCCGACCUGAGAGGGGGGUGGGGCAGAAGGGGAGUAAGGCAAGGAACAGACGCCGACGGGAGGGAGCAGGAGGGGAAGAUUGGAAAAGGAUGGAAGUCGGAAAGGGGCAGGAAGAGUGGGAGAAGAAGGUUGUCGGAUGGAAGAGACCGGUUGUAGGAGAAGAAAGAAAGUGGGAGUGGAAAGUUCAGAAGGUGACGGUGGCUUAACAGAAAGGGACGGCUAACUACGUG
rnacentral:rRNA from 1 species